rnacentral:rRNA from 1 species
GACGAACGCUGGCGGCGUGCCUAAUACAUGCAAGUAGAACGCUGAAGAGAGGAGCUUGCUCUUCUUGGAUGAGUUGCGAACGGGUGAGUAACGCGUAGGUAACCUGCCUGGUAGCGGGGGAUAACUAUUGGAAACGAUAGCUAAUACCGCAUAAUAGUAGAUGUUGCAUGACAUUUGCUUAAAAGGUGCAAUUGCAUCACUACCAGAUGGACCUGCGUUGUAUUAGCUAGUUGGUGAGGUAACGGCUCACCAAGGCAACGAUACAUAGCCGACCUGAGAGGGUGAUCGGCCAUACUGGGACUGAGACACGGCCCAGACUCCUACGGGAGGCAGCAGUAGGGAAUCUUCGGCAAUGGACGGAAGUCUGACCGAGCAACGCCGCGUGAGUGAAGAAGGUUUUCGGAUCGUAAAGCUCUGUUGUAAGAGAAGAACGAGUGUGAGAGUGGAAAGUUCACACUGUGACGGUAUCUUACCAGAAAGGGACGGCUAACUACGUG